AUAUACACAACUUAUAAUACUUCUUCCUCUAGUUUCACCUCCUCCAAACAAACCCUAAAGCCUACAGCUUCAGAAAUCAAUCCUUUCGACCAUGGCGGAUGUGGAGACGGAGGUUGCGGCGGCCGGAGUGCCCAAAAAGAACAUUCAAGAAGUUCAGCUUCAGGGGUGUUGAUUUGGAUGCUCUCCUCGAUAUGUCCCCGAUGAGCUAGUCAAGCUCUUCCCUGCACGUGCUCGCAGAAGGUUCCAGAGAGGUCUCAAGAGAAAGCCCAUGGCUUGAUUAAGAAACUUCGCAAGGCGAAAGGGAGGCUCCACCCGUGAGAAGCCAGAACCAGUGAGAACACCUCCGAAACAUGAUCAUUGUACCCGAAAUGAUCGGUAGCAUCAUUGGCGUGUACAAUGGCAAGACUUCAACCAAGUGGAAAUCAAGCCUGAAAUGAUUAGUCAUUACCUUGCCGAGUUCUCUAUUUCAUACAAGCCUGUUAAGCACGAGACCGGUAUCGGUGCUACUCACUCUUCGAGGUUCAUUCCUCUGAAGUGAAGACCUUUCCUCCAGCUUGGAUCCUCAGUAUGGGGUUAGUAUGACAUUGUUUUGUUGCACUUUUGGUAAUGAAAAUUUUACCCUUUGCUUUGGACGUUUCAUCAUCUAGUUUUAUUGCAGUUGAAGAUGUCAAUGUUUUUGUUUGGUAAUUUCAUUGGCUUUUAUUUCAUAUA